rnacentral:rRNA from 1 species
GCAAGUCGAGCGGUAACAGGAAGUGCUUGCACUUCGCUGACGAGCGGCGGACGGGUGAGUAAUGCUUGGGGAUCUGCCUUUAGGUGGGGGAUAACUACUGGAAACGGUAGCUAAUACCGCAUGAGGUCUACGGACCAACGAUAGCCUCUGUAUAUGCUAUCGCCUAGAGAUGAACCCAAGUGGGAUUAGGUAGUUGGUGAGGUAAAGGCACACCAAGCCGACGAUCCCUAGCGGGUCUGAGAGGAGGAUC